ACAAUGGAAGAAGAGAUCACUGCGCUUGCCAUUGACAAUGGCUCCAGCAUGGCAAAGCUGGCUUUGCUGGGGACGAUGCCCCCCAAGUCAUAUUUCCCUCCAUUGUCAGGCACUCCCAGCACCAGGGCAUGAUGGUGGGCAUGGGCCAGAAGGACUCCUAUGUGGGCGACAAGGCCCAGAGCAAGCGUGGCAUCCUGACCCUGAAGUACCCCAUUGAGCAUGGCAUCGUCACCAACUGGGAUGACAUGGAGAAGAUCUGGGACCACACCUUCUGCAAUGAGCUGCACGUGGCCCUGGAGGAGCACCCAGUGCUGCUGACUGAGACCCCCCCGAACCCCAAACCAACAGAGAGAAGAUGACUCAGAUCAUGUUUGAGAUCUUCAACACCCCAGCCAUGUACUUGGCCAUCCAGGUCAUGGUGUCCCUCUACACCUCUGGGGACAUUACUGGUAUUGUCAUGGACUCUGGAGACAGGAUCACCCACAUGGUGCCCAUCUACAUGGUCUGCGCCCUCCCACACACCAUCCUGCGUCUGGAUCUGGCUGACUGGGACCUGACCGACUACCUCAUGAAGAUCCUCACCAAGUGUGGCUACAACUUCACCACCUCGGCCCAGCAGGAGAUCAUGUGCCACAUCAGAGAGAAGCUGUGCUACGUCACUUCUGGACUUCAAGGAGAGGGCCACUGCCGCAUCCUCCUCCUCCCUGGAGAAGAGCUGGAGCUGCCCAAUGGCCAGGUCAUCACCAUCGGCAGUAAGCGGUCCUGGUGCCACUAA